AACGAACGCUGGCGGCAUGCCUAACACAUGCAAGUCGAACGAGACCUUCGGGUCUAGUGGCGCACGGGUGCGUAACGCGUGGGAAUCUGCCCUUGGGUUCGGAAUAACAGUGAGAAAUUACUGCUAAUACCGGAUGAUGUCUUCGGACCAAAGAUUUAUCGCCCAGGGAUGAGCCCGCGUAGGAUUAGCUAGUUGGUGGGGUAAUGGCCUACCAAGGCGACGAUCCUUAGCUGGUCUGAGAGGAUGAUCAGCCACACUGGGACUGAGACACGGCCCAGACUCCUACGGGAGGGCGCAGGGGGGAAUAUUGGAAAAUGGGGGCAAGGCUGAUCCAGGAAUGCCGCGUGAGUGAAGAAGGCCUUAGGGUUGUAAAGCCCUUUUACCCGGGAUGAUAAUGACCGUACCGGGAGGAUAAGCUCCGGCUAACUCCGUG
rnacentral:rRNA from 1 species